CGCAAGCCUGACGGAGCAAGACCGCGUGGGGGAGGAAGGCUCUUGGGUUGUAAACCCCUUUUCUCAGGGAAGAACCAAAUGACGGUACCUGAGGAAUCAGCCUCGGCUAACUCCGUGCCAGCAGCCGCGGUAAUACGGAGGAGGCAAGCGUUAUCCGGAAUGAUUGGGCGUAAAGCGUUCGUAGGUGGCUAUUCAAGUCUGCUGUCAAAGACAGAAGCUCAACUUCUGAAAGGCAGUGGAAACUGAGUAGCUGGAGUGCGGUAGGGGCGGAGGGAAUUCCCGGUGUAGCGGUGAAAUGCGUAGAGAUCGGGAAGAACACCGGUGGCGAAAGCGCUCUGCUGGGCCGCAACUGACACUGAGGGGCGAAAGCUAGGGGAGCG
rnacentral:rRNA from 1 species